CCUACGGGAGGCAGCAGUGAGGAAUAUUGGUCAAUGGGCUUACGCCUGAACCAGCCAAGUCGCGUGAGGGAAGACUGCCCUAUGGGUUGUAAACCUCUUUUGUCAGGGAGCAACGCCGGCUACGUGUAGCCGGACUGAGAGUACCUGAAGAAAAAGCAUCGGCUAACUCCGUGCCAGCAGCCGCGGUAAUACGUAUGGUGCAAGCGUUAUCCGGAUUUACUGGGUGUAAAGGGAGCGCAGGCGGCACGGCAAGCCUGAUGUGAAAGCCCGCGGCCCAACCGCGGGACUGCAUUGGGAACUACCGGGCGGGAGUGCCGGAGAGGUAGGCGGAAUUCCUAGUGUAGCGGUGAAAUGCGUAGAUAUCAGGAGGAACACCGGCGGCGAAGGCGGCUUACUGGACUGUAACUGACGUUGAGGCUCGAAGGCGUGGGGAGCAAACAGGAUUAGAUACCCCGGUAGUC
rnacentral:rRNA from 1 species